UACGUAGGGUGCGAGCGUUGUCCGGAAUUAUUGGGCGUAAAGAGCUUGUAGGCGGUUUGUCGCGUCUGCCGUGAAAAUUCGAGGCUCAACCUCGAACUUGCGGUGGGUACGGGCAGACUAGAGUGUGGUAGGGGAGACUGGAAUUCCUGGUGUAGCGGUGAAAUGCGCAGAUAUCAGGAGGAACACCGAUGGCGAAGGCAGGUCUCUGGGCUGUUACUGACGCUGAGGAGCGAAAGCGUGGGGAGCGAACAGG
rnacentral:rRNA from 1 species